GGAUGGUUUGCUCAGUUGGUAGAGCAUCUAGUUUACACCCAGAGUGUCGGCGGUUCGAGCCUGUCACCGCCCA
rnacentral:tRNA from 1 species